rnacentral:rRNA from 1 species
CACUAGAAGAGAAAGACUUUUAGCAAUACCUGCCCAGUGCGAAAUAUUACUGUAAACGGCCGCCCUAGCGUGAGGGUGCUAAGGUAGCGAAAUUCCUUGCCUUUUGAUUGUAGGCCUGCAUGAAUGGUUUAACGAGGGUUUAACUGUCUCUUGAUUUAAAAUUGAAAUUGUACUGAAGGUGAAGAUACCUUCAUUAAAAAGUCAGACAAAAAGACCCCGUGCAACUUUGAAAAUUAACUUUAUUCAGAAGUGAAAGAUUUUUAGGUGGGGCGCCUAGAAAGUAAAUCUAACCUUUCUGAACAUUUAGUUCUUUCCGGACUUGACCCGAUUAUAUUCGAUCAUAGGAGAAGUUACGCCGGGGAUAACAGGCUAAUCCUUUAGUAGAGCUCGUAUUGGCUAAAGGGAUUGGCACCUCGAUGUUGAAUCAGGGAUGAUAGCUUCAAGGCGUAGAGGCUUUGAGAGUAGGUCUGUUCGACCUUUAAUACCCU